GACGAACGCUGGCGGCGUGCUUAACACAUGCAAGUCGAGCGGUAAGGCCCUUUCGGGGGUACACGAGCGGCGAACGGGUGAGUAACACGUGGGUGACCUGCCCUUAGCUCUGGGAUAAGCCUGGGAAACUGGGUCUAAUACCGGAUAUGACUCCAUGACGCAUGUUGUGGGGUGGAAAGCCUUGUGCGGCUAGGGAUGGGCCCGCGGCCUAUCAGCUUGUUGGUGGGGUGAUGGCCACCAAGGCGACGACGGGUAGCCGGCCUGAGAGGGCGACCGGCCACACUGGGACUGAGACACGGCCCAGACUCCUACGGGAGGCAGCAGUGGGGAAUCUUGCGCAAUGGCGAAAGCCUGACGCAGCGACGCCGCGUGAGGGAUGACGGCCU
rnacentral:rRNA from 1 species